AAAGAUUUAGUUUAUUAAAACAUUAAUUUGUCAAAUUAAAGAUAUUAAUAUUAUUUAAUAAUCUUUA
rnacentral:tRNA from 1 species